UUACUACGUUUCCGAGAGUUUCCGAUUGAGAAACGAUAAUCUCCGAUCGUACCGGAAUAAAUAUUAAAUCCUCUCAAAUCGAACAAUCUCAGCACGUCAGCGCGGCCGGCUCUUCUUGUCACGAUCAGUUUGUUGACGAAAAUAUAUUUAUACUGCAGGAAGUUUGACCUUUGAGAAGUGCUUGUUGUGCCAGGCUGUGCUUGUUGUGCCAAAUGACAACAAAAUUAUAUCUUCUUCAAUAAACAGAUAUAAACUGAGAUAAGAGUCGGAGAUUCUCGAAGAUGGCAGGAAUACCAAACAAUAACAAGAUGCCACGUAGUAAACAUCACUCGAAACAACAUCAUUCUAUGAGUGCUGCUCCUGGCGGGAAAAUUGCUGGAAAGAAACACCCAGGAAAAGCUAUUCUAGCAGGC